GAUAAACGCUGGCGGCGUGCCUAAUACAUGCAAGUCGAGCGAACAGACGAGGAGCUUGCUCCUCUGACGUUAGCGGCGGACGGGUGAGUAACACGUGGAUAACCUACCUAUAAGACUGGGAUAACUUCGGGAAACCGGAGCUAAUACCGGAUGAUAUAUUGAACCGCAUGGUUCAAUAGUGAAAGACGGUUUUGCUGUCACUUAUAGAUGGAUCCGCGCCGCAUUAGCUAGUUGGUAAGGUAACGGCUUACCAAGGCGACGAUGCGUAGCCGACCUGAGAGGGUGAUCGGCCACACUGGAACUGAGACACGGUCCAGACUCCUACGGGAGGCAGCAGUAGGGAAUCUUCCGCAAUGGGCGAAAGCCUGGCGGAGCAACGCCGCGUGAGUGAUGAAGGUCUUCGGAUCGUAAAACUCUGUUAUUAGGGAAGAACAAAUGUGUAAGUAACUAUGCACGUCUUGACGGUACCUAAUCAGAAAGCCACGGCUAACUACGUG
rnacentral:rRNA from 1 species